rnacentral:rRNA from 1 species
AUUGAACGCUGGCGGCAGGCCUAACACAUGCAAGUCGAGCGAGCGGCGGACGGGUGAGUAAUGUAUGGGGAUCUGCCCGAUAGAGGGGGAUAACUACUGGAAACGGUAGCUAAUACCGCAUACUAUCGGAUGUACCCAUAUGGGAUUAGCUAGUAGGUGGGGUAAAGGCGCACCUAGGCGACGAUCUCUAGCUGGUCUGAGAGGAUGACCAGCCACACUGGGACUGAGACACGGCCCAGACGCCUACGGGAGGCAGCAGUGGGGAAUAUUGCACAAUGGGCGCAAGCCGGAUGCAGCCAUGCCGCGUGUAUGAAGAAGGCCUUCGGGUUGUAAAGUACUUUCAGCGGGGAGGCGUUACCCGCAGAAGAAGCACCGGCUAACUCCGUGCCAGCAGCCGCGGUAAUAC